UACUUCUGGGAUGAUAUUCUUUUCAAUAACCAUCCUUAAACAUAUGUUACAAACUUAUUUCCUUCCUGUCCAAAACAGUUGUUUCAUUUUUCCCAUUAGGAAGAUAAGCAAAUAAACUGUGAAGUCACAGAUAACUCUGGCAUGGUACAACUUGACUGCAGUAUUGGCUAUAUAUAUGUAGAUCAUCUCUCAAGCAUAGAUAUUAGCUUUCUCCUGGAUGUGAGCUCACUCAGCAGAGCAGAAGAGGACCUCAAUAUCACAGUGCAUGCUACCUGGUAUAAUUUAUUGUUAAUAAAAUGAACUAGAAAUGUACCCCCAUAUUUUGAGGGGGGAAUUAGGAGAACCAUAAAACUGUGUUCCAUUAAUUGUAACAGAAAACUUCUCUUAC
rnacentral:sRNA from 1 species